rnacentral:misc_RNA from 1 species
AACGCAUAUUGCGCUCUUUGGUAUUCCGAAGAGCAUGCUUGUUUGAGUAUCAGUAAACACCUCAAAUCCUUCGAUUUGUUUUGAAGGCUUUGGACUUGAGCAAUCCCAACACCAGUCUUUACGAUCGGUGGAGGGUUGCUUGAAAUGCAGGUGCAGCUGGACAUUCUCCUGAGCUAUAAGCAUAUUUAUUUAGUCCCGUCAAACGGAUUAUUACUUUUGCUGCAGCUAACAUAAAGGGAGUCUGACCAUAUUGGCUGACUGAUGCAGGAUUUCACAAGGGUCGGCAACGAUUCUUGUAAAACUCGAUCUCAAAUCAAGUAAGACUACCCGCUGAACUUAA